UUUCCGUAGGAGAACCUGCGGAAGGAUCAUUAUUGUAUAACCGAGGUGCGAGGGCUGUCGCUGACCCGAAAGGUCGUGCACGCUCGAGUGCCCUCACACACAUCCAUCUCACCCCUAUGUGCACCACCGCGUGGGUCCCCCUUUGGCUUGUUCGGAGGGGGGCUUACGUUUUCACACAAACUUUGUAUGCAGUGUAGAAUGUAUUUUUUGUUUUUGCGAUCACGCAAUCAAUACAACUUUCAACAACGGAUCUCUUGGCUCUC
rnacentral:misc_RNA from 1 species